UAACAGGGACUUUGGAUGCAGUUCAAACUACCAGACAUCAAUAGACAAUGUAGUCCUACGUGCUAGUGACAGUUCUUCUUAACCCUCAUAAUUACCCAAGAUGAAUGUACUUUUUUUUUUCAUUUCAUUUCAGACUUGGAAAAGUCAAGCACACUGUGUUUGCUUAACUCUCACACGGCAAAGCAUCUUGUAGCAGCCAAGCCAGGACUCUAAACCAAGAAAACUGGCUCUGGUUCGUGAGCGUCAAAGUUACACAACACAUUAUGUUCAUUUUACUACAUGUGUCUCAAAAGAAAGUUUCCUUAUGAGUAAGGCAAGGUUUCUGUAGUAAAAAACAAAAAACAAAAAACAAAAAACAAAAACCAGAUAGAGUACUCAUAAGUGGUAAGUGAGUGGAAUGUUUCUACAAGGGGCUAUGUAUCCUUCAAAGACAUGUGGUAAGGGUUGGAGAGAUGUCUCCAUUGUUUGUUACCAGGAUCUAUGAUAGACAGCCCACAAUUGCCUGCAACUGAAACCACAGGGAAUCUGACCUCUUCUGGCCUUCACAGAGGCCUGCAUAUUUGUUCCCACACAGACACACAGACACACUUAGAAAUAAAAAGGUUUGAUAUGUGUGGCAAUGGAGAAACCUAUGUAAAUCAGAAAACAGUGUGUGGUAUUUGGUAGAAGCAGAAACUAAAUAUCAUAUUGAUGGGAAGUUGGGUUUGUAAUUUUUAAUCGGGAUAGUCUAUUAAAAAGGGUAGUGAUGGAUUUUAAAUCCAGAAAACAUUCUCAAUGGCUCAAACUAGUGACUUGGAAGUACCCUGAUACCCACAAGCAAAAGCUGGUGGAACUAAAGAUGACUUUUGGAAGUCAGGGGCUUCCUUCAGGGUGCCAAUGAGGAUAUUUAUAGGAAGGAGUAGGCCAAAUGCUGCAACAUCAGUAUUUGAAGACAUUCAGGGCGAUGGUUGGUAGAAUUUUUCCAGAACUGAAGAAGCAUCGAAUACUCAGACGGAGCAGCAUUUUGAGUAUUAAAAAGUUGGAGCAAAAUGUAACCUUCUUUUAGAGAUCGGGUUUGUAAUAUUAACACACAGACAAAAACAGUGUUAGCUGUUAUUACACAG
rnacentral:lncRNA from 1 species